GCUCGGGGGUGUAAAGUAAAAGCUGUGAAAAUGUGAAAUCGCUCACUGCCGCCAUUUGUCCACCCCCCACAGAACUAGACCGCCUCCCAGCUAAACGGGCCAGUUAGAAUUUGAUGUAUUUGCUACGUAGAAACCGGGUAACCAAUGGGUGUCGUGUUCCAAAAUCGACUUAGACCCGCCCCCUUUUCUAACGUUCGCUUUGUGCUGCUGAGAAGAAUCGGAAGAUGCGGGAGUCAUGUCUUCCCAGAAAACUGGCCAUGAGAAAUGCAUCAUUCCAGGGUGGGAGUAUCAAAUACAUCACUGCACCGCCUUCCAAAAGAAAAAGAUGUCGCUGACAGUUCUACUGAAUCAGGGGCUAUAUGAUGUCGUAUCAAAACUACUGUUGAUGAAAGGAUCCAUUCCCACUAUUCAGGACCCUCUCCCAAGCAUUGAAACGGGAGCCAUUAGACCUGUUUCCCAGGCCAAUACCUCCC